rnacentral:rRNA from 1 species
UACAGAGGCUGCAAGCGUUACUCGGAUUCACUGGGCGUAAAGGGAGCGCAGGUGGGCAGGUGUGUCGGGCGUGAAAUCCCGGGGCUUAACUCCGGAAUGGCACUCGAAACUAUCUGUCUGGAGGAUUGGAGAGGCGGGUGGAAUUCCAGGUGUAGCGGUGAAAUGCGUAGAUAUCUGGAGGAACACCGACGGCGAAGGCAGCCCGCUGGACAAAUCCUGACACUCAGGCUCGAAAGUGUGGGGAGCAAAAGGG